AUGAACGCUGACAGAAUGCUUAACACAUGCAAGUCAACUUGAAUUUGGGUUUUUAACUUAGGUUUGGGUGGCGGACGGGUGAGUAACGCGUAAAGAACUUGCCUCACAGCUAGGGACAACAUUUGGAAACGAAUGCUAAUACCUAAUAUUAUGAUAAUAGGGCAUCCUAUAAUUAUGAAAGCUAUAAGCGCUGUGAGAGAGCUUUGCGUCCCAUUAGCUAGUUGGAGAGGUAACGGCUCACCAAGGCGAUGAUGGGUAGCCGGCCUGAGAGGGUGAUCGGCCACAAGGGGACUGAGACACGGCCCUUACUCCUACGGGAGGCAGCAGUGGGGAAUAUUGGACAAUGGACCAAGAGUCUGAUCCAGCAAUUCUGUGUGCACGAUGAAGUUUUUCGGAAUGUAAAGUGCUUUCAGUUGGGAAGAAAGAAAUGACGGUACCAACAGAAGAAGUGACGGCUAAAUACGUGCCAGCAGCCGCGGUAAUACGUAUGUCACGAGCGUUAUCCGGAUUUAUUGGGCGUAAAGCGCGUCUAGGUGGUUAUAUAAGUCUGAUGUGAAAAUGCAGGGCUCAACUCUGUAUUGCGUUGGAAACUGUAUAACUAGAGUACUGGAGAGGUAAGCGGAACUACAAGUGUAGAGGUGAAAUUCGUAGAUAUUUGUAGGAAUGCCGAUGGGGAAGCCAGCUUACUGGACAGAUACUGACGCUGAAGCGCGAAAGCGUGGGUAGCAAACAGG
rnacentral:rRNA from 1 species